rnacentral:rRNA from 1 species
UUAUUGGAGAGUUUGAUCCUGGCUCAGGACGAACGCUGGCGGCGUGCCUAAUACAUGCAAGUCGAGCGGACUUGAUGGAGUGCUUGCACUCCUGAUGGUUAGCGGCGGACGGGUGAGUAACACGUAGGCAACCUGCCCUCAAGACUGGGAUAACUACCGGAAACGGUAGCUAAUACCGGAUAAUUUAUUUCACAGCAUUGUGGAAUAAUGAAAGACGGAGCAAUCUGUCACUUGGGGAUGGGCCUGCGGCGCAUUAGCUAGUUGGUGGGGUAAUGGCUCACCAAGGCGACGAUGCGUAGCCGACCUGAGAGGGUGAACGGCCACACUGGGACUGAGACACGG